rnacentral:misc_RNA from 1 species
UUCUACUAGUCCAGUGCCAUCCCAAACUACUCAGUAUGCAGCUGGAGCAGGUUCAGUUUUAUGGUCAUACACAACUAUCUGCUUCAGCACCUGCCUACGCGGGGCCAUAUGUGUCUCUUACUGCUUCUCUUGCUCCUUCGAACAGCAUCCAAAAUGAAUUCUGGUGCUAGAUCACACACUUCAUCAGUCUCAUAUUUCUUG